CUUUAUGUUGAUUUUUUACUUUUAAACUCUUGGCUUUGAAACAGUUUCAGAUUUUCAGAAGAGUUGCCCAAACAGUAGAGCCAGGUCCCAGACAGCCCUCCCCCAGCCUCCUGGAGGCUGAUGACUGAAUAACGGCUGAAGAUUUGUAACGUUGCUGAGGCAGCUCACCUCCCAGCCUCUCCCUCCUGUGACUGUUCCUCAGUCUCCUCCCAUCUGCCACAGCCCUGAUGGAGUGAAGAGUAAAUGUCAGACGAGAGGACUGAUACUAAAUCAGAAAUUCAGCAGGGGACACUGAAUGUUGUCGCACCCGACUCGGUGGAGAUCGUUUGCCCUGGUCCCUACUGGGCUCAGGGAUUAUGGAGAGGAGAGGACCCAACACAGUGCCCAGGAGCAGUUCCAGACCCUCACGGCACUGUAAAACCUCUGCAUGUUAUCUUGCCCAGGGCAGCAGCUAUGGGGAGGACUUAA
rnacentral:lncRNA from 1 species